AAAAAAAGGCAACCAGAAAAAAAAAAUAAGCCGAGCCCCCAUGCAACAUCCACAGCUCCUCUCCGACCACCACCGGCACAAAAAUAGAGGUUUGGGGACCCUCCGGGAGCGCGGUGAGCCCCAGGCAGCCCGGUGUUGGUGAACUUCGGGGUGCACACAGCAGGAAGGGGGUACCCAGAGCAGGUGGACAAACAUCCUGCAGCAUGUCCAUGUGGAGCUGAAGGUGCUUUGGGGACAGAGGAUGUGGAAUUUCCACCUCUGUUUUGGUGUAGAAGACGUCUGAAUCCCCUACAUUUGCAGGUAGCACCGUGCCCAGGUAAUAGUGGUGGUUUUAAUCCAUGUGCAGGUGUGUGUGUGAAGGUAUUGUCAGGCUGCAAGGUGCUGCUGGUCUUCCCUCAAGAAGUCUGUUCCAGUUGACUGUUUUUGCUGAUGUGCAGAAGUAACCUCUUCAUUCACUCCUUGUCACUUCCCGGGCCUUGCUGCCCGUUUUUCUUCUUUCCAGAGGACACCUAAAGACUCCGGCUCUGGUAUGGAAGGGAUGAAGUCCUUGCCUUUCGAAAGUGAGCAGGAUGUUCCUGGGGGCUCUGGGGGCCGUGCUGCAUUGGCUCCAUGCUGCUGGUGGAUGUGGCAUGCGCUGGGCUUGGGCACAUUGCUGGUGGGUGCGUGACACGCGGGCACUUCGCUCACUGGUGGUGGGCGUGUGGUGGGGUCCCACGCACCAAACCCCUCCCCAUGGGGCUCCAUUUACCACGCCCUCUCCAGCUCACAUUGGGAAACUGGUGGCGCUGGGAGUCGUUAAUUCUGCGUGCUAACAACCUCAUAAAUCCAUGUAACAGAGGCUGGGCUGGUUCCGUCCCAGGCAGACGUAGUUACCAGCCCACCAGCCCCACUGGGAGCGGAGGUGAACCCAACUCAUCCCAUCUGCCUCCAAGCUGACGUCCCAAAAACUUUUAGAGAAAUAAUUGCGAUGAAAACAUCUCAUCCCGUUUUAGAGAGAUGUUGAUGGGCACAAAGCAUCACCAGGAGCUGGGGAGGCGGCUCCUGACCACACGCAUUCAGGAGCCCUUCAUCAUUUGGGGGUUAGACUCGAUGAUCUCUCAAGGUCCCUUCCAACCCCUACAGUUCUGUGAUUCUGUGAUUUCCAGCCCUGGCUGCCUCUCCCCAUGCGCUCACUGAAUUGCACAGGACCCAGUUCUCUGUCAUGCAGCAGCGCACAGAGCUCGGUUCCAGCAAACCAAGAACAACUGGGGGCAGUCCGGGUUUUCCAUAAGUUUCCAGUGAUGGUGCAAUU